UACGUAGGGGGCAAGCGUUGUCCGGAAUUAUUGGGCGUAAAGAGCUCGUAGGCGGUGUGUCGCGUCGGCCGUGAAAACCUGCAGCUUAACUGUGGGCUUGCGGUCGAUACGGGCAUCACUGGAGUUCGGCAGGGGAGACUGGAAUUCCUGGUGUAGCGGUGAAAUGCGCAGAUAUCAGGAGGAACACCAAUGGCGAAGGCAGAUCUCUGGGCCGUAACUGACGCUGAGGAGCGAAAGCAUGGGGAGCGAACAGG
rnacentral:rRNA from 1 species